AGUGAUUACAACCGCUCCCGUUAUCCUAAGACGUCUUUUUCUUAUAAAUAACUUUAUUUAUAAUUAUAAUUAAGUUAUUUUUCACUCUCAUAUAACCCCGUCGAACGGAGCUUCUCCCGAUAAAUUAAAAACCGAAAACCAAAAUGCUGAUACUGCUGAUGAGCACCUCUGUUAUAGGUGAAAAGUUAGAAAAGUAAAAUACGUGAAAUUAAUUAAUAUUUAUGUCUGUUCGCAAUCAU